rnacentral:rRNA from 1 species
GGACCCGCACAAGCAGUGGAGCGCCUGGUUUAAUUCGAUGGUCAGCGAAGAACCUCACCUAGGCUUGAACUGUAGCUGCACACUCCCAGAAACGGGAGAAUCCUUCGAGGGUGCUACAGAGGUGCUGCAUGGCUGUCGUCAGCUCGUGUCGUGAGAUGUAGGGUUAAGUCCCACAACGAGCGCAACCCCUAUUCAGUGUUAUAAUUACUCUGAAGACUGCCCUGUCCAAACGGGGAGGAAGGAGGGGACGACGUCCAGUCAUCAUGUCCCUUAUGUCUAGGGCUACACAGACGCUACAAUGGCCGGUACAAUGGGUUGCCAAACCGCGAGGUGGAGCCAAUCCCAUCAAAGCCGGUCCCAGUUCGGAUUGCAGUCUGCAACUCGACUGCAUGAAGUUGGAAUUGCUAGUAAUCGCGAAUCAGCACGUCGCGGUGAAUACGUUCUCGGGUCUUGUACACACCGCCCGUCAGGGCACGGGAGUCGCUCUUGCUCGAAGUUCCC